UUUACUGAAUAUUUUAAGCCCACUAUUGAGACCUACUGCUCGGAAAAAAAGAUUCCUUUUAAAAUAUCACUGCCCGCUGACAAUGCACCUAGUUAUGCAAGAACUCUGAUGGAUAUGUACAAAGAGACUAAUGUUUCCAUAACUUCCAGUACAACAGCCAUUCUUCAACCAAUGAAUUAAGGAGCAAUUUCAACUUCUAAGUCUUAGCAAUCAAGAAAUACAUUUUGAGAGGCUAUAGCUGCCAGAGAUAGUGAUUUUUCUGAUGGAUCUGGGCAAAGUAAGUGAAAAUCUGUCAAGGAUUCAUCAUUCUAGAUGCCAUUAAGAACAUUUGUGAUUCAUAGGAGAAGGUAAAAAUAUCAGCAUUAACAGGAGUUGGAGCUGGGCAUGGUGGCUCAUGUCUGUAAU